rnacentral:rRNA from 1 species
CCUACGGGAGGCAGCAGUGGGGGAUAUUGCACAAUGGGGGAAACCCUGAUGCAGCGACGCCGCGUGUGGGAAGACGGUCCUCUGGAUUGUAAACCACUGUCCCCAGGCACGAAGAUGACGGUACCUGGGGAGGAAGCUCCGGCUAACUACGUGCCAGCAGCCGCGGUAAUACGUAGGGAGCGAGCGUUGUCCGGAAUUACUGGGUGUAAAGGGAGGGUAGGCGGGGAUGCAAGUUGGGUGUAAAAACUACCGGCUCAACUGGUAGUCGCACUCAAAACUGCAGCUCUUGAGUGAAGUAGAGGCAGGCGGAAUGCCUAGUGUAGCGGUGAAAUGCGUAGAGAUUAGGAGGAACACCAGUGGCGAAGGCGGCCUGCUGGGCUUUUACUGACGUUGAGGCCCGAAAGCGUGGGGAGCAAACAGGAUUAGAUACCCCAGUAGUC